rnacentral:rRNA from 1 species
UCCAGACUCCUACGGGAGGCAGCAGUGGGGAAUAUUGCACAAUGGGGGAAACCCUGAUGCAGCGACGCCGCGUGAGUGAGGAAGUAUUUCGGUAUGUAAAGCUCUAUCAGCAGGGAAGAAAAAAUGACGGUACCUGACUAAGAAGCACCGGCUAAAUACGUGCCAGCAGCCGCGGUAAUACGUAUGGUGCAAGCGUUAUCCGGAUUUACUGGGUGUAAAGGGAGCGUAGACGGCGAUGCAAGCCAGAUGUGAAAGCCCGCGGCUCAACUGCGGUAGUGCAUUUGGAACUGUAUGGCUGGAGUGCAGGAGAGGCAGGCGGAAUUCCUAUUGUAGCGGUGAAAUGCGUAGAUAUUAGGAGGAACACCAGUGGCGAAGGCGGCCUGCUGGACUGUAACUGACGUUGAGGCUCGAAAGCGUGGGGAGCAAACAGGAUUAGAUACCCCCGUACAC